AUGGCUGUCCUGUCAGUUUCUUCUUCAACCUGGAGCUCCAUCCCCACACUCACCUUCCGACCCGGACGCCAUGGAAGGAAGAUUAAUUUCUCUGUUGUGCAGUUUCCUCACGCACACAUCUUUAUGGAGCACUGCUCCAUGGAGCUCGUCAAGGAUCCGCCAUGGGCGUCAGCUUCUUCUUCAACCUGUAGCUCCAUCCCCAUGGUCACUGUCCACGCGGCUGCUCCGACCCCGACGCCAUGGAAGGUUCUUAUUUUAUUGUACAAGUUUGAGUUGGUGGAUGAGACACUCUUUCUUACCGUGACCAUGGUAGGCAUAUUUUGGGAAAAACAAGUGAUGCCAAGCAAGAAGUUGCAGUUAGUUGUAGUGACGGCUAUGCUUUUUGCAUGCAAAUAUCUGGAAGUCUCAGUUCCACUUGUUGAAGAUUCAGUGCUUAGUUAUGACCAUGCUUAUACGGAAGGACAAACUCUGGAAAUGGUAAUAUCCAUUCAAAACUGUAUGCACAUCAUGCUCAAUGGUUCUAGUUAUAUACUUACCACAUCAGUACACCAUGACACGCGUUUGCUUUUCCAAAUCAUUGUCGAUGUCAAACCAACAACAGAUGUAAGAAUGUAA
rnacentral:rRNA from 1 species